rnacentral:rRNA from 1 species
CAAAGAUUAAGCCAUGCAUGUCUAAGUAUAGCAAUUAUACCGUGAAACUGCGAAUGGCUCAUUAAAUCAGUUAUCGUUUAUUUGAUAGUACCUUACUACUUGGAUACCCGUGGUAAUUCUAGAGCUAAUACAUGCUAAAAACCCCGACUUCGGGAGGGGUGUGUUUAUUAGAUAAAAAACCAACGCCCUUCGGGGCUCCUUGGUGAUUCAUGAUAACCUCUCAGAUCGCACGGCCUUGCGCCGGCGACGGUUCAUUCAAAUUUCUGCCCUAUCAACUUUCGAUGGUAAGGUAUUGGCUUACCAUGGUUUCAACGGGUAACGGGGAAUUAGGGUUCGAUUCCGGAGAGUGAGCCUGAGAAACGGCUCACACAUCCAAGGAAGGCAGCAGGCGCGCAAAUUACCCAAUCCCGACACGGGGAGGUAGUGACAAUAAAUACUGAUACAGGGCUCUUUUGGGUCUUGUAAUUGGAAUGAGUACAAUUUAAACCUCUUAACGAGGAACAAUUGGAGGGCAAGUCUGGUGCCAGCAGCCGCGGUAAUUCCAGCUCCAAUAGCGUAUAUUAAAGUUGUUGCAGUUAAAAAGCUCGUAGUUGAAUCUUUGGCCUGGCUGGCGGGUCCGCCUCACCGCGUGCACUUGUCCGGCCGGGCCUUCUCUUCUGGAGAACCGCAUGCCCUUCACUGGGCGUGUUGGGGACCAGGACUUUUACUUUGAAAAAAUUAGAGUGUUCAAAGCAGGCCUUUGCUCGAAUACGUUAGCAUGGAAUAAUAGAAUAGGACGUGCGGUCCUAUUUUGUUGGUUUCUAGGACCGCCGUAAUGAUUAAUAGGGACAGUCGGGGGCAUCAGUAUUCAAUUGUCAGAGGUGAAAUUCUUGGAUUUAUUGAAGACUAACUACUGCGAAAGCAUUUGCCAAGGAUGUUUUCAUUAAUCAGUGAACGAAAGUUAGGGGAUCGAAGACGAUCAGAUACCGUCGUAGUCUUAACCAUAAACUAUGCCGACUAGGGAUCGGGCGGUGUUAUCGAUUUGACCCGCUCGGCACCUUGCGAGAAAUCAAAGUGUUUGGGUUCUGGGGGGAGUAUGGUCGCAAGGCUGAACUAGAG